AACGAACGCUGGCGGCAUGCCUAACACAUGCAAGUCGAACGAGACCUUCGGGUCUAGUGGCGCACGGGUGCGUAACGCGUGGGAACCUGCCCUUAGGUUCGGAAUAACUCCCCGAAAGGGGUGCUAAUACCGGAUAAUGUCUUCGGACCAAAGAUUUAUCGCCUUUGGAUGGGCCCGCGUUGGAUUAGCUAGUUGGUAGGGUAAAAGCCUACCAAGGCGACGAUCCAUAGCUGGUCUGAGAGGAUGAUCAGCCACACUGGGACUGGGACACGGCCCAGACUCCUACGGGAGGCAGCAGUGGGGGAUAUUGGACAAUGGGCGAAAGCCUGAUCCAGCAAUGCCGCGUGAGUGAUGAAGGCCUUAGGGUUGUAAAGCUCUUUUACCCGGGAUGAUAAUGACAGUACCGGGAGAAUAAGCUCCGGCUAACUCCGUG
rnacentral:rRNA from 1 species